rnacentral:rRNA from 1 species
UACGUAGGGGGCAAGCGUUGUCCGGAAUUAUUGGGCGUAAAGAGCGUGUAGGCGGUCCGGUAAGUCAGCUGUGAAAGUCAAGGGCUCAACCCUUGAAUGCCGGUUGAUACUGUCGGGCUAGAGUCUGGAAGAGGCGAGUGGAAUUCCCGGUGUAGCGGUGAAAUGCGCAGAUAUCGGGAGGAACACCAAUGGCGAAGGCAGCUCGCUGGGACGGUACUGACGCUGAGACGCGAAAGCGUGGGGAGCAAACAGG